UGGCUUGGUUUAUGUACACCG
rnacentral:miRNA from 1 species